rnacentral:rRNA from 1 species
AUUGAACGCUGGCGGCAGGCUUAACAUAUGCAAGUCGAGCGGAGAUGAGGUGCUUGCACCUUAUCUUAGCGGCGGACGGGUGAGUAAUGCUUAGGAAUCUGCCUAUUAGUGGGGGACAACAUUCCGAAAGGAAUGCUAAUACCGCAUACGUCCUACGGGAGAAAGCAGGGGAUCUUCGGACCUUGCGCUAGUAGAUGAGCCUAAGUCGGAUUAGCUAGUUGGUGGGGUAAAGGCCUACCAAGGCGACGAUCUGCAGCGGGUCUGAGAGGAUGAUCCGCCACACUGGGACUGAGACACGGCCCAGACUCCUACGGGAGGCAGCAGUGGGGAAUAUUGGACAAUGGGGGGAACCCUGAUCCAGCCAUGCCGCGUGUGUGAAGAAGGCCUUAUGGUUGUAAAGCACUUUAAGCGAGGAGGAGGCUACUGAGACUAAUACUCUUGGAUAGUGGACGUUACUCGCAGAAUAAGCACCGGCUAACUCUGUGCCAGCCGCCGCUGUAA